UUGUACUUAACUGAAUUUUAUAACGCUGAUCGAUAUCUUGGUAAAAUAUUCAUUUUUAAACUAGCGGGCAGUGAAAUCUUUGCUUUGUGUGCUAAAGUCAACAGUCGCUCGGUUUGAGCUCAAAUAAAUGCGGAGAUGCCUCGGCUCGGAGCAGUCCGCCGCCUCCCUCCGCGCGCUGGACGCUCCGCCGUCAGCCCGUCGCACCGCAGCCUGAGAGAAAACCAGCGCGCCUGCCAUUCUCCAGCAGGUGCCAAGUGCGGCUGCGUUCGGAAAGAGCCCGCAGGGCCCGCGCGGCGCGGCAGGACUUGCAGGAACCCCUGGAUCAAGACUAGCUCAACUAUGGCUGAGUAAACAACCCACGUUCCCCAGAGUUUUGAACCUACUCAUAAAUUGUGCUGUUUUGGAGAUUCAGGAUCCUAUUUCCAAGGAGAGUUGUGGGGGGCAUGUUUAUGUUUGUUAUUUUCAAAACCCAGCAAAGGAAACAGCAGCGAAUUAAAAUGAAAUAUUUUCAUUUGCCUCCAGCGUUGUCAGUGAUUUGCCCCCAGGGAUCCACAAUUUUCCCAAGCCUGUUAACGGGUGACAAUGAAUGAGUGCCUCCUGUAAUUUAAUUUUCCUGUCACACUAAAUAGAGCUACAUUGUAAACCUUAGAUCUACUCUUACUGAUAGGAUCGCCUUGUUUUGCCAUUUGCACCAUAAAGACCCCCAAAAGGGACACUGUAUUGUGACCUCUACUCUUGAAUUAUUCAAGAACUUAAUGACAUUUUCCAUUUUAAAAAGAGAACUAAUUGCCAUGGAUGUAAAGCAUGUGACCUUCUCUGGGUGCCCAGUAUGAGAAUGUAACCAUCUGUAUGUGCAUACAGGAGCUGCAGAAAGCGGGCAAAAAUAGAAGAAAGAUAUAAACAUAAAUGAGCUCCAAAUGGACAUGGAAUUAAUCACAUUAUUUAAUUCCACCCCAAGCCAUGACAUAGUUUUCCAGAAAGUUCUCUUACCUUACCUAAAAUCUUUAUAAACUCUCACAUCAAUUCAGACCUGUUUUUUGGGCAUGACAUGACUUUUUAGCUAAGACAGUAACAUUUGAAUUUGUGAAAUCCGGUAUGUCUUCAUUAAUGUGAAACUACCAAUGUCAAACAGAAUAUCUAAUAAUCUGCUCCCCUUCCCCCCCGCCUUUCUUAUUUUCAUUAUU